rnacentral:rRNA from 1 species
UACGAAGGGGGCUAGCGUUGCUCGGAAUCACUGGGCGUAAAGGGUGCGUAGGCGGGCCUUUAAGUCCGGGGGGAAAUCCUGGAGCUCAACUCCAGAACUGCCUUUGAUACUGAGGAGCUUGAGUUCGGGAGAGGUGAGUGGAACUGCGAGUGUAGAGGUGAAAUUCGUAGAUAUUCGCAAGAACACCAGUGGCGAAGGCGGCUCACUGGCCCGAUACUGACGCUGAGGCACGAAAGCGUGGGGAGCAAACAGG